GACUCGUCACACUAUCAUUAACUGAAUCCAUAGGUUAAUGAGGCGAACCGGGGGAACUGAAACAUCUAAGUACCCCGAGGAAAAGAAAUCAACCGAGAUUCCCCCAGUAGCGGCGAGCGAACGGGGAGGAGCCCAGAGCCUGAAUCAGCAUGUGUGUUAGUGGAAGCGUCUGGAAAGGCGCGCGAUACAGGGUGACAGCCCCGUACACAAAAGCGCAUGUGCUGUGAGCUCGAUGAGUAGGGCGGGACACGUGGUAUCCUGUCUGAAUAUGGGGGGACCAUCCUCCAAGGCUAAAUACUCCUGACUGACCGAUAGUGAACCAGUACCGUGAGGGAAAGGCGAAAAGAACCCCGGCGAGGGGAGUGAAAAAGAACCUGAAACCGUGUACGUACAAGCAGUGGGAGCACCCUUUGGGGUGUGACUGCGUACCUUUUGUAUAAUGGGUCAGCGACUUAUAUUCUGUAGCAAGGUUAACCGUAUAGGGGAGCCGGAGGGAAACCGAGUCUUAACCGGGCGUUAAGUUGCAGGGUAUAGACCCGAAACCCGGUGAUCUAGCCAUGGGCAGGUUGAAGGUUGGGUAACACUAACUGGAGGACCGAACCGACUAAUGUUGAAAAAUUAGCGGAUGACCUGUGGCUGGGGGUGAAAGGCCAAUCAAACCGGGAGAUAGCUGGUUCUCCCCGAAAGCUAUUUAGGUAGCGCCUCGUGAAUUCAUCUCCGGGGGUAGAGCACUGUUUCGGCUAGGGGGCCAUCCCGGCUUACCAACCCGAUGCAAACUGCGAAUACCGGAGAAUGUUAUCACGGGAGACACACGGCGGGUGCUAACGUCCGUCGUGAAGAGGGAAACAACCCAGACCGCCA
rnacentral:rRNA from 1 species